GACUUUUUAACUAUUUAAGUGUAUAUUUUGAAAAUAUAAAAAAGAAAAAUUUUCUAAAAGUCU
rnacentral:tRNA from 1 species